rnacentral:rRNA from 1 species
AGUGAACGCUGGCGGCGUGCUUAACACAUGCAAGUCGAACGAGAACGGAUUAUAGCUUGCUAUAAUUGUCAGCUAAGCGGCGCACGGGUGAGUAAUGUAUAGGUAAUAUGCCUCUUACAAAGGGAUAACAAAUGGAAACGUUUGCUAAUACCUUAUACUCCUUAUUAACAGAAGUUAAUAAGGGAAAGAUUUAUUGGUAAGAGAUUAGCCUGUAUUGUAUCAGUUCGUUGGUGGGGUAAUGGCUUACCAAGACUAUGACACAUAACUGGUUUGAGAGGAUGAUCAGUCACACUGGAACUGAGACACGGUCCAGACUCCUACGGGAGGCAGCAGUGGGGAAUAUUGCACAAUGGACGAAAGUCUGAUGCAGCAACGCCGCGUGGAGGAUGACACAUUUCGGUGCGUAAACUCCUUUUAUAUGAGAAGAUAAUGACGGUAUUAUAUGAAUAAGCACCGGCUAACUCCGUGCCAGCCGCCGCUGUAAUAC